GACGAACGCUUGCGUGUGCCUAAUGGCAUGCAAGUCGAACGAAGCUUUCCCUUCGGGGAAUUCGCUUAGUGGCAGACGGCUGAGUAACGCGUAAGUAACUUGCCUUAGAGAGGGGAAUAACUCAGGGUAAACCUGAGCUAAUACCGCGUAAUCUCCGCAUCUGAGAUCCUGCGGAGGAACGGUGUCGGGUGACCGAUGACCGCUCAUAGACAGGCUUGCGUCCAAUCAGGUAGUUGGUGUGGUAAUUGCUCACCAAGCCUAAGACGGGUAGCUGAUGUACGAGCAUGGACAGCCAGAGGAGGACUGAGACACGGCCUCCACUCCUAGGGAGGCAGCAGCAAGGAYUUUUCCACAAUGGGCGAAAGCCUGAUGGAGCGACACCGCGUGAGGGAUGACGAAUUUCGGAUUGUAAACCUCUUUUAUUGGGGAAGACGGGGACGGUACCCAAGGAAUAAGUCACGGCUAACUACGUGCCAGCAGCCGCGGUAAAACGUAGGUGGCGAGCGUUGUCCGCAAUAACUGGGCGUAAAGGGUCCGUAGGCGGUACGGCAAGUCUCCUGUGAAAUCUUCGGGCUUAACCCGGAGCGGUCGGGAGAAACUGUUGAACUAGGGCUAGCAGAGGCGAGCGGAAUUCCCGGUGUAGUGGUGAAAUGCGUAGAUAUCGGGAGGUACGCCAGUGGCGAAAGCGGCUCGCUGGGCUAGAACUCACGCUGAUGGACGAAAGCUUGGGUAGCGAACCGGAUUAGAUACCCGGGUAGUCCACGCCGUACACGAUGGAUGCUAGGUCUUAGGGGAAUAGAUCCCCUGUGGACCGUAGCUAACGCGUUAAG
rnacentral:rRNA from 1 species